rnacentral:rRNA from 1 species
UUCCGGUUGAUCCUGCCGGAGGUUACUGCUAUCGGUGUUCGCCUAAGCCAUGCGAGUCAUAUGUUCUUCGUGAACAUGGCGUACUGCUCAGUAACACGUGGAUAACCUGCCCUUGGGUCUGGCAUAACCCCGGGAAACUGGGGAUAAUAUUGGAUAACGCACAUAUGCUGGAAUGCUUUAUGCGUAAAAUGGAUUCGUCUGCCCAAGGAUGGGUCUGCGGCCUAUCAGGUAGUAGUGGGUGUAAUGUACCUACUAGCCGACAACGGGUACGGGUUGUGAGAGCAAGAGCCCGGAGAUGGAUUCUGAGACAUGAAUCCAGGCCCUACGGGGCGCAGCAGGCGCGAAAACUUUACAAUGCGGGAAACCGUGAUAAGGGGACACCGAGUGCCAGCAUCAUAUGCUGGCUGUCCGGGUGUGUAAAAUACACUCGUUAGCAAGGGCCGGGCAAGACCGGUGCCAGCCGCCGCGGUAACACCGGCGGCCCGAGUGGUGAUCGUGAUUAUUGGGUCUAAAGGGUCCGUAGCCGGUUUGGUCAGUCCUCCGGGAAAUCUGAUAGCUCAACUAUUAGGCUUUCGGGGGAUACUGCCAGACUUGGAACCGGGAGAGGUAAGAGGUACUACAGGGGUAGGAGUGAAAUCUUGUAAUCCCUGUGGGACCACCUGUGGCGAAGGCGUCUUACCAGAACGGGUUCGACGGUGAGGGACGAAAGCUGGGGGCACGAACCGGAUUAGAUACCCGGGUAGUCCCAGCCGUAAACGAUGCUCGCUAGGUGUCAGGCAUGGCGCGACCGUGUCUGGUGCCGCAGGGAAGCCGUGAAGCGAGCCACCUGGGAAGUACGGCCGCAAGGCUGAAACUUAAAGGAAUUGGCGGGGGAGCACAACAACGGGUGGAGCCUGCGGUUUAAUUGGAUUCAACGCCGGA